CAAAACCCUAGAAGGGAUCUUUAAAAACGGUACGCAGUAACAGAGCUGAGGGGAACUAUUCGAAUGCUCAGCCUUCUAGCAGCUUUAAAAGGCCCCGAAGAUCCGCAAGAGUGCCACGUAAGAACCCAAAAUUUGUGGAUUAAAAGAUCCCCACGUGCAGGUUGAAGGAGUCAAAACAGAAGGAAGAAGAAGCGGUCAACCAGGAGGAGAAUCUGCUACCAGUAGGAUAUCUUAGUUGUUCGUAGUAGUUAAUGGAUUUUUACUUUUCCUUGAUUUUCUGAGAUUGAAUUUAAUCAUGUUUUCAUGGAAUUAGGAUGUUCUGUUAUUUUCUGUUAUUUCUUCUUGUAUUUAAAGACCUCAAGAAUGAAUGAGAAGGCAGAUUGCAUUUUUCAGAAAA